rnacentral:tRNA from 2 species
GACAAGAAAAGGAAAAGAUGGUGUUGAAUAGCCCCCUCCUAAGGGGCAGGUUGCAGGUUCGAAUCCUGCCGGGGUCACCA